AUAGAUGCUUUUCUAGCAAUAUCAUGCUGGCUCAAGGAUUAUGGCAUGGCAUCACAUCAGCUUCUAAAUAAGAUAACCAUGUUCAUGGUGUCUUGAGUUUCAUACCUGUGCAGUUAAAGCCAUCACUUUUCUGCAGUGAUAACCUUCCACUGGUGCACAUCUCAGAGUAAUGCUUUCAGAGCUGUUUGCAACAAAGCCAGUCUCUGCAAAACUUUAAGAUCUAAUGUUUUUUAUUUAAGGCAUAUUCAUUUUUCACCUGUAGAAACAGAAAGCUAACCUGGUAAUACCAUCCUCUGCUAAUUCACUACACUUCAUAAACAGAGUCUGGCUGGGCAUAAUUGACAAUCGUUUCUUUCUCGUGCAAGGGCUUGUCUGAAGUUUAAAAUCAUUGGUGUAAACGUAAGCCAAUCACAUAAUGUUUGGUUAUGACGUGCGUUAUGUCGGUCUUGAAGCUGGAGGAAAACAGUUAGAAUGGGAGAUAUCUCAGACUUAGUACAGAAGCGUAAUGAAAUUUAGCGGAAGUACAAAGUCUGACGUAGUCAGGCUAACAGAAAGCAUAAAUGUGUGCCACAUUAUAUAUUGUCAGAUGGUUUCUGCCAGCAUAAUUCAUUUCCUGUCAUGAGGGCAUGGCGACCACAUUGGAUUACACUUUAUGUUGACGGUCGUUUUUAGAAAUUCUGUUGACUAUAUGUAAUGCUGCAUAUAUCUCAUCAAACUCCCUUUAGAGUAUUAGUUGGGGUAUCAGUAGACUGUACUUUAAGUAGGGGUCAGGGUUAGUAGAAUAAGUUAAAUACCAUGCUGGGAAACCAUGAGUGCUCUACCUUUUUUACUACAGCCAGAUGCCGGGGGUUUUGCAUUAUGUGCUGCCGAGACUCGUUUGGAUGUUGUGGCCAUUUUAUUUAAAGGAACUGUUAAUUCUGUUGCUAAUACUAAAGCAAACAUUCUGUGAAAUUGAAUGUAUAAAAAUGGCUUCAAUGAGGAUUUUGUCAUGUUUCUGCUGCCUGCGUGAGUAAUGUAUGCAUCGAUUAUCAUUUCAGUGAGCAUUCUGACAGUUGUUAACUGAUUGGAUACUGGUGAAGUACUGGUUAAUGCAUUGUGUGCUCCGUAUGUGCCGGAUGGCAACGAUUGAUGGAAGGCUGCCAUGGCAGAUAGGAUCACAGCAGAGCGCAGAUCCAUUGCUCUUUUUGAUCCCCUUUUGGAAGAGCCAGUGAGGUAUAAAUCUCUCCCUAAGAGACUGUAUUAGUAAUGAGGAGAAAGGUGUGUGUGUGUCAGACUGAUGUGAUAUUUUACUGUCAGUUUCUGCUUUGAGGUCAAAGUUAUUGAGGCUUAUAGUAGCCCUUACCUAGAAUCUGCAAUUAAUUUGAUUAUGAUUAUUGCUGCUCAAAGAAAGUUGCCCAACAUGUAUUAAAUGUAUUUUACAGAGAGGAUGACUUGUGUCUCUGUUUACCAGCCUUAAGAUCUCUAAUUAAGAAAACAAAAUCAGCAAUGCGCCUGCAAAAGCACACAGAAACAUAAGUGCCUUUCAGAAAAUUACAUUCGAAACACUACAUUUUGACAUUUUCGAAAGUGACUGGAACUUGUCUGUGCCAUGGCGUGGUGUUGCGUUGCUAUGCAGUUAGGUUGCAAGUGCAUUGCAACAUGCUUCUUUAGGAGAUUGCAAGGAUGUUUUUAAAUUGCUGCUCUGGUUUUCUGUGGGGUUGUUAAGUGGUUGCUUAUUGCUUGUGUUGGUAAAAGCUUUCUGUAUUAUUUUACAACUUGGUUAGCUUAGUAUUCUUAUUCUGUUUGUCACACCAGCGUGAUGUUAAUCUGCCAGAGAAGAACUGGCCCUCCCGGUUGAGCCUGAUUUCAUCCAAGUUUUUUCUCAUUUUCAGCAGCAUUGGACAUUUGUUUUUUUGCCAUUGUAACAUUUGACUUACAAUGGAGCUCCUAGAGAAGCUCUACUUUGCCGUUGAAUCCAGCCCUGCAGCGGAUUCCAGGCCUUGCGUCUUCCCCUGCCUGCUUUCCGGCAGAUAAAAGAGCGAAUUUCCAGAGCGAAAUUCCUCUAAAAGAGUAUUUCCUAAGAGCGUUUGAAAAUGUUUCUUUGACAUUGUGGCUCGUGCUGAGCCCCUUUGCCAAUAUGGGGUCAGAUUUGUUUCGUAUUUCUGAAUAAAUAUACUAUGAUCCACAAAUAAAUAUAGAGAGUUUCAUAAAUAUUUUUUAAAUCCACAAAUGCACAAUAAGCGAACCAUAAAUAUAUGUUAGACAUUUCAUAAAAAGGAAGGAAAUUCACAAAUAAAUAAAAUGGGAUUUGCAAAUCGGAGGAGGAGGACUUUUAUUAUGACAGCGAGUAUCACUCACUCAAAGCAAUGGCGGAAGAGCGCUAGUUUUGUACAAGUGUCUCGCUGUGUGAGACAUGAAUCGUGUUGUUGUGGAGACAAUAGCACCAGAUUGUUACGCGGGUGUUCAUGUGCGUCAUUAGAGAAACCACAUCUACACCUGCCUAUGAUCUGGCUAAGCUCUCAAAUAUAGCCAGGCACUCAUGCAUCUCCAUUCACAUGCCAUGCAACCAAGCUCAUAAAUACAGCUCUGGCCUAUCUCUCUUAAAGGAGCAUACCCUCAUCCUGUGCAGAGCUUCAUUAAAGGACUACUACCAAUAUUCACCAUUACCUUCAUCAACGACUGCUCUGCUAUCCAAGUUGUGCCUCUCAUUCAGAGUUCUGUGCGGUGUGUGCUACCUCGUAAAUACUGAAUGCUGGAUCUCUCCUAUCUAAUGUAUGUUCUCUUGUGUGCCUAAUAAACAGCUCAAGUUGG